AGGACGAACGCUGGCGGCGUGCUUAAUACAUGCAAGUCGAGCGAGAAGCCACCGCUCCGUAAGGAGUGGUGGUGGAAAGCGGCGAACGGGUGAGUAACACGUGGGUAAUGUGCCCUGAACAUCGGGAUAACAGCGGGAAACCGCUGCUAAUACCGAAUAACCCUGCAAUGUCGCAUGACGAAGCAGGCAAAGUUCCGGACGGUACAGGAUCACGCCCGCGGUGUAUCAGCUUGUUGGUGGGGUAACGGCCUACCAAGGUCUUGACGCAUAGCUGGCGUGAGAGCGCGACCACGCCACACGUACGGGACUGAGACGACGG
rnacentral:rRNA from 1 species